GUUCUUGUCUGAUCACUAAAGUUAAGCAACAUUGAGCCUGGUCAGCACUAAGAUGGGUGUCCACUUGAGAAUACUAGGUGCUGUAA